CCUGGUGGCUCAGAUGGUAAAGCUGCUGCCUGCAAUGCGGGAGACCAGGGUUCGAUCCCUGCAUCAGGA
rnacentral:tRNA from 1 species